GUCUACUGCCAUGCCACCCUGAACGUACCCAAUCUCAUCUGAUCUCGGAAGCUAAGCAGGGUCGGGCCUGGUUAGUGCUUGGAUGGGAGACCAUCUAGGAAUACCAGGUGCUGUAGGCG
rnacentral:rRNA from 1 species